UACGGUCAUAGAACCCAGAGACCCCGCAUCCCGUCAGAUCUGCGCAGGUUAAGCUGGGUGUCGCUCAGUUAGUACCAACGUGGGGGACCAGUUGGGAAUCCCAAGGUCUGUAGUU